AAAUUGAAGAGUUUGAUCAUGGCUCAGAUUGAACGCUGGCGGCAGGCCUAACACAUGCAAGUCGAACGGUAACAGGAAGCAGCUUGCUGCUUUGCUGACGAGUGGCGGAUGGGUGAGUAAUGUCUGGGAAACUGCCUGAUGGAGGGGGAUAACUACUGGAAACGGUGGCUAAUACCGCAUAACGUCGCAAGACCAAAGAGGGGGACCUUCGGGCCUCUUGCCAUCAGAUGUGCCCAGAUGGGAUUAGCUUGUUGGUGAGGUAACGGCUCACCAAGGCGACGAUCCCUAGCUGGUCUGAGAGGAUGACCAGCCACACUGGAACUGAGACACGGUCCAGACUCCUACGGGAGGCAGCAGUGGGGAAUAUUGCACAAUGGGCGCAAGCCUGAUGCAGCCAUGCCGCGUGUAUGAAGAAGGCCUUCGGGUUGUAAAGUACUUUCAGCGGGGAGGAAGGUGUUG
rnacentral:rRNA from 1 species